rnacentral:lncRNA from 1 species
UGAAAUCUAAAAGGCAUAUUUGUCAGUUAGUGAAAAGCUCAAGAUUUUAAAGUGUAAUUGUGUUAUAUUUUUUAUUAAAGAUGCAAUGACAACUGGAGAAUUAUUGCUAAAACUUUACACAUUUAAUUUCAGACCCAUGGGAACUGUUGACGGACAAGAUGGAGGGCAUUUGGAACUGCCUAUGACUAGAUCUGGAGUCAAAAGAAAGGAAGAGGAAAUAGAGGCAGAGUUCUUGGACGAUGGGGAGAGAACCGAGGAUUCACUGGACACCGACUCUUCCAUUACACCAACCAUCCAGUCUGCACUGUCUCCAACCUCAGUGUCCCAGCAGUGUGUUCCUGACUUAAAGCCCUCAAACACAGAACAGAUGGUUGAUCACAAAAUCUCUCCGGAAGCUGUGAGAGCAGAGUAUCCUCUCUGCUUUCUUCAACUUCACAAUCAUCAUCAUCUGAGCUCUCUUCCUUCCUCAUCUCAGGAUUAGUAUCUUCUUGUUCAUAUUCUUCAUCCCCUCUAGUCUGCAUACUAACGGCAUCUUCACCAUAACCCUCUUCUUCCUCUUCUUCUUCUACUACUUCUAGUUCUAGUUCUUCUUCUUCUUCUUCUUCUUCUAUGACUUCUACUACUUCUUCUUCUACUAUUUCUACUUCUUCUUCAGGACAAGCUUCUACUUCUAUAUCAUAGUAAGUACUUACUGAUUUAACUUCACCAUCACAAACAUCUUUUUCUGCACACUUUACUUUUACACAAUACUUUUCACACUGGUAAGAUCAUCAGAUAAAGUGGCAUAUUUUGAUGCGGUGUUGGGGUCCAGAAUAACAGGAGCUAGAGAGAGAGAGAGAGAGAACAUGAAAACAUAUUUAUUGUUAAACAUGUUGUUUGUUUUUACUGAUACAAAUUAAGUAUUUGAUUUAUUACCAUGUGUGACACACUAUGCUGGUGGAAUAAACAUAAUAAAAAUCUUUUAUGCCUUAAUUAAAAAAAAUGUGGAUGCUGCAUCAUGUAACUGUAAACUAUUUAAAAAGAGCUAUUUAAAAAUGUUUUUGGGAAAUAAAAG